GAUGAACGCUGGCGGCGUGCUUAACACAUGCAAGUCGAACGGGGAACCUUUUAUUGAAGCUUCGGCAGAUUUAGAUUGUUUCUAGUGGCGGACGGGUGAGUAACGCGUGGGUAACCUGCCUUAUACAGGGGGAUAACAGUCAGAAAUGACUGCUAAUACCGCAUAAGCGCACAGAGCUGCAUGGCUCGGUGUGAAAAACUCCGGUGGUAUAAGAUGGACCCGCGUUGGAUUAGCUGGUUGGUGGGGUAACGGCCCACCAAGGCGACGAUCAGUAGCCGGCCUGAGAGGGUGAACGGCCACAUUGGGACUGAGACACGGCCCAG
rnacentral:rRNA from 1 species